rnacentral:rRNA from 1 species
UUUAUCAAGAAACGAAAGUUGCGGGCGCGAAGAUGAUCAGAUACCGUCGUAGUCGCAACUAUAAAACUUUGUCGCCCAAGGGGUAGUGGUAGUUACAUGAUGACACCCCUAUAACUUUGUGAGAAAUCAUAAGGAUUUGGACUCUGGGGGAAGUAUGGUCGCAAGGCUGAAACUUAAAGGAAUUGACGGAAGGGCACCACCAGGAGUGGAACCUGCGGCUUAAUUUGACUCAACACGGGGAAACUUACCAGGUCCAGACACAGUGAGGAUUGACAGAUUGAUAGCUCUUUCUUGAUUUUGUGGAAAGUGGUGCAUGGCCGUUUUUAGUUGGUGGAUUGAUUUGUCUGGUUAAUUCCGUUAACGAACGAGACCUAAACCUACUAACUAGUUAAUGGUAACUUGGACUCCAUAAUAAAUUUUCAUAUGGAGACCUCUAAAUUUAUCCAAACUUCUUAGAGGGACUCUUUAUACUUAGUGAAUGGAAGUUAGCACA